GGAGAGAUGUCCGAGCGGUUUAAGGAGGCAGUCUUGAAAACUGCUGUAGCGGAAACGCUACCGGGGGUUCGAAUCCCUCUCUCUCCG
rnacentral:tRNA from 1 species